UCCUCUCCGUGGUGUCAGGGCCCAGCACUCACCAAAGAGCCACCCCCAUCGCCUCCCUGUCCUUUUAUGGGAGCGUCUGAUGCCCAAAAUAGGGCUGUGAUCCCUGCCACAGACACCCGUGGGUCCAAGCGGGAGAUGCCGAAGGCGUGUGUGCAGUGCUGGGGUGUCAUAAUGCCCCUUCCAACAGCACCUGCCUCGCCCCGACCUGGUUGGGCUCAGCUGGCAGCCCCCCACGCCUGUGACGCGUGGCCAUAAACAUGGGUGAACCAAGGUGCUGCUGUCUCUGGAAUCAGGAUUUCUGAAACCACCUUCGGCAGGGCCACGGAGCAGCGUCUAGCUCUCUGAUGGUCCCAGGUCACUGCUGGACCCUGGGUCUCACACUUGACUGUGACCCCCCCCCCAACCCCAGUCCCCAGCAGCAGGGGCUUCCCCGACUGAACCACGGAUGCCCGGCUCGGGGAUUGGAGAAGGCUUCACGGGUCUCUGCUGAGUCAAAUCCAACUUAAAAAGGUGACUAUCUUUGCCUCUUUAAAAACAUAUAUUUUUUUCAUUUAAAAAAUGUGCCACUUUCCCCAAGCCCUUGGGAUACAGUGACAGCCCCUUCAGUGCCCUCACUACCCUGUGUCUGUGCUGAGGCCCUGUGCGGCCCCACACCCUGCCUCCUGCCCCGUCCUGGUGAGGUGUCCCCUCUGGGAAGCCCCAUCGGACACUCGGCCUGGGGGUCCCUCCACCAGCUCUCAGGGCCCCUGUGCCUUCCUGCGGAGCAGCUGACCCUUGGUGUGGAACCUGCUGGUCACCAGGGGUGGGUGGUAGCUUGGGUGCAGCACUGGUUGGUGGCCAGCACCUGGUGCCCUGGGAUUUGGGGAGAAGCCCCCUGCCCACAGAGCACACUGGUCCUGGCUCAAUCGUUUGUUGGAUACACAGGAAAGGUCUCCAGGUAGGGAGGGAGGGGCUGCUCCCCAUGCAGUGUAAAUUCUUCUUCCCUUCUCUUCCAUGUGAAAGUGUCUGUUUCUGGCUUCUGGCCUGAGGCUGCACUUCCCAGCCAGUCAGAAGGGCCAUCCUGCAGGCUGCAACCGUUUAUGAGCAAUAAAGCUCUCCUUUCCAAA